UACGUAGGGUGCGAGCGUUAAUCGGAAUUACUGGGCGUAAAGGGUGCGCAGGCGGCCCCGCAAGUCAGGCGUGAAAUCCCCGAGCUUAACUUGGGAAUUGCGUUUGAAACUACGGGGCUGGAGUGUGGCAGAGGGAGGUGGAAUUCCACGUGUAGCGGUGAAAUGCGUAGAUAUGUGGAGGAACACCGAUGGCGAAGGCAGCCUCCUGGGCCAACACUGACGCUCAUGCACGAAAGCGUGGGGAGCAAACAGGAUUAGAUACCCUGGUAGUCCACGCCCUAAACUAUGUCUACUAGUUGUUGGGGGAGUUAAAUCCCUUAGUAACGCAGCUAACGCGAGAAGUAGACCGCCUGGGGAGUACGGUCGCAAGAUUAAA
rnacentral:rRNA from 1 species